rnacentral:rRNA from 1 species
AUUGAACGCUGGCGGCGUGCUUAACACAUGCAAGUCGUGCGGUAACAGGCGUAGCAAUACGUGCUGACGAGCGGCGAACGGGUGCGUAAUACAUGGGAAUCUGCCUUUUAGUGGGGAAUAACCCGGCGAAAGCCGGGCUAAUGCCGCAUAAGAUCUUCGGAUGAAAGCGGGGGAUCGUAAGACCUCGCGCUGAUAGAUGAGCCCAUGCCGGAUUAGCUAGUGGUGAGGUAACGGCUCACCAAGGCGACGAUCCGUAGCUGGUCUGAGAGGACGGCCAGCCACACUGGGACUGAGACACGGCCCAGACUCCUACGGGAGGCAGCAGUGGGGAAUAUUGGACAAUGGGGGAAACCCUGAUCCAGCGACGCCGCGUGUGUGAAGAAGGCCUGGCGGGUUGUAAAGCACUUUCAGUAGGGAAGAAAGCCG